CAGCAGCCGCGGGAAUACAGAGGGUGCGAGCGUUAAUCGGAUUUACUGGGCGUAAAGCGUGCGUAGGUGGUGGUUUAAGUCCGUUGUGAAAACCCUGGGCUCAACCUGGGAAUUGCAGUGGAUACUGGGUCACUAGAGUGUGGUAGAGGAUAGUGGAAUUUCCGGUGUAGCAGUGAAAUGCGUAGAGAUCGGAAGGAACAUCUGUGGCGAAGGCGACUAUCUGGGCCAACACUGACACUGAGGCACGAAAGCGUGGGGAGCAAACAGGAUUAGAGACCCGGGUAGUCCCUGUCUCUUAUAA
rnacentral:rRNA from 1 species